AGACUUGACUUCAGCUGCAUUGCCCAAAAUCAUACCGAAUCUUCAACUUUCUAAGUAUCCAGAACCCUACCGAGUCCUUUUUCCAACAUGUCUCUCACACUCAUUAUCUAUCCUUCGCCUUUGUCUUGGUUUAUACUCAGUUUAGCUUCAAAACCCACUCUUCUUUCACUCCUCGAACUUCGCAUAUCUUUUCGUCAACUUCUUCCAUUACUGCGUCGAUGUCUACUUCCUCGCCUCCGAUCCCCGAUCAUCUGGCUGUAGAUGACAAGAAGCCCGCGCCGCCGCCAAAGCCAUGGCUCAUCGUGGGCCUCGGGAAUCCCGGGAAGAAGUAUGAUCGCACGCGCCAUAAUCUAGGUUUUGAGAUGGUGGAUCAUGUAGCUGAAGCUGAAGGGAUUUCCAGGUAGGUCUUGUGGGCAUUCAUCUUAAUACCUGGAGCUACAGCGGAUGAGGAGUAUCAUUGAUCACUUGAAAGGCAGUCGAGAUUUCCCUGGA